rnacentral:lncRNA from 1 species
UCCCAACAAGCAAACAAACACACUCCACGGAACAAUAUAGGGCACUUGCGUAUGGAUGCAAAAUCAAAUUGCAAAAAAAAAAGUGGUGCAUGAGCGAUUGCAAGUAUGACAACAACAAACUAGGAUGAGUCAAAAUGAAUCUAAUAUUUGAAAUUUGGCGUGUGAACGCGAUCGCCAACACGAAAACGGAUCCAUUCACCACAAACCGAGCACGACGAAAGUGAAAACAACAAGCAUAAACGACUAUGAGGCAACCUGAGAUGCAGAAGAACAUCAAGCUCGUGAAGCCUUGGCUCUUUUGAGCAAUAAAAACCAGAGGCAAAACCUUCGGCGCUCCCAUAAACCCACUGAAACAACCAAUCAAGGAGCAUCGUGAAUAUACCAAUAGUCACGGAAGCCACGAAUAAGUCGGCGACGAAAAAGGAGCAGCGUAAAUAUACCAAUAGUUUUAGAAACACAGCGACGACCAAUCAAACCAUGGUCGCCGAAAAAGUCACGAACCAAAGAACACAGACCCUCACAAGUUUUUCAACAUAAUCAACUACAAAUUUUUCCCUCUAUAGCAUUGGAUCACCUUUAAGGGGAACUACAAACACAAACAACUUUGAAUCGUCACGCAAAACAUGUGUUGUAAACAACCACCGCUGUUAAGCAUUUGACCGUCACGAUUGUGUUAUUUCUACAUAAUCCAAAUAUACUGGUGCUUGAUACACCGCGAGAUCUAAAGAAAGGGUGAUGCAGAGGGCUAAAACCACUCUUCACACC